UGUUACCAAUUAGAAUAUUGAUACAAUAUGGACAAUUCAAAAAUACAAUAAGGUUUUUGCCAAUUGAAAAGGCCAAAUCAAAUGUGUGUGAGAGAGAGACAGGAGAGGUAGAAAAAGUGUGAGCAGAGAAACUCACAGAAACAUAAAACAGAAUGAUCAGGUUCCAAUCAACCCAUGAAUCCAAAACAGAUACCAGUAAUCUGUAGCUUUCAAAC